ensembl:lncRNA
AAGGGGGACGUCUGGCUGACUUAGGUGAACAAACAUACAGUGGUGUAUGGGAGCUGAACACGCAGCAACAUCACUGUGUGGGAGUGAUCUGGGGUCAGUUUGGGCCAACGGAUGAAAGCAAGGGACUUAAGCUGUUAGAAAACCUACCAUCCGACCACUGCAGCGAAACUACAAGACCAACUCGACAAGAGGAAACACAGGCUGUGGAACGGAGAGGAGAAGUUCUUCCAUGCUGUAGUUCUGGUGCUUGGGGUCAGCCUUCUUCAAAUUGAAGUCCAAAUCAGGAGAUAUGAACUGAACGCUACUAAGGUGGUAAGGGAAGGCGUCAAGAAGGAACUACGAGGGCUGAGGCUCACUGCACAGCAAGACCGACUUGUCCUGGAUCAACUGCAUGUGUAUGUAUAUUCCUGAUAACGAUGCUGAUGGCCACGUGAUAGAUGUGGGUAUUAAGAACAUGACUAAUGCAAUUCACAGGUUGACAGCUAUAAUCAAAUAUAAGAGUUGUUUGUUUUCUUUAUAGCUUGCUUAUAUGUUAGGAAUGACUAUAUUCCAUAAAAAAAAAAAUGCAAAUGCUUUUUUUUCGCCUUAUGAUAGUAAUGGUGUUUUAAAUCUUGAAUUUACAUGAUUGAUGUAAACUAUAAGGGUAAAGUUUUCACAAAUUUAUCUACAUUUAAUCAAUAUAAGUGAUCAAUAAUGAUCAAAAGGGAGGAGUGUUAUGGAAAUUUUUAAUAUUGUUAAUCUUGCAUUGAUUGCAUUAAUCUCAUUUAAGUAUCUUCUUAAACAUACAAUGAUCAAAGUAGUAUAUAGUCCAUAGGGACAUUGAGUUAUUUUAUGUAACUUGUGCACAUAACUGCUUUAGGUUGAAAUACAACAUUUAAGGGGAAACUGUUUACCAGGGACUGGCAGUUUUGAGAGAAACCAGACAUCUACCAUGUAAUGUGCAUGAGAAGUGCAUGUGUCAUGGGGUGAUGUGCACUGAGCAACAUGAUUGGCUCAAAGGUCCUAAUCUGUCCUUCAAUGUAUCUUUUUACAUACUAUAAAAAGUGUGUUGUGAGUCUGUGUGUUAUCUCUUUGCACACAGACUCAAGCUGUGUGUAAACCAGAUCAUUCUCUGCAGAGAAUUAAAGCAAUACAAAGACAAAACUCUGUUUGGUGUUUCAUUCUCAGUCUCUACAAAUUGUUAUUGAAUUAGAAUUUCCACAACACCUGUUUGAAAACUAUGAUUAAUUGUGAAGUUCUCUUAUUAUUAUUAUUAUUAUUAUUAUUAUUAUUAUUAUUAUUAUUAUUAUUAUUUGUUUUUUUUUGUUUUGUUUCUCAUUUUAUUACAUAGCACUAUGGCAAACAUAGCAAGAUCUGUUCAAAGUUCAGUAAUACUGAAAUAAUGUGAUUUGCUCAAUAGCCUUGAGAAAAU